GAGUAAUGUCUGGGAAACUGCCUGAUGGAGGGGGAUAACUACUGGAAACGGUAGCUAAUACCGCAUAACGUCGCAAGACCAAAGAGGGGGACCUUCGGGCCUCUUGCCAUCAGAUGUGCCCAGAUGGGAUUAGCUAGUAGGUGGGGUAACGGCUCACCUAGGCGACGAUCCCUAGCUGGUCUGAGAGGAUGACCAGCCACACUGGAACUGAGACACGGUCCAGACUCCUACGGGAGGCAGCAGUGGGGAAUAUUGCACAAUGGGCGCAAGCCUGAUGCAGCCAUGCCGCGUGUAUGAAGAAGGCCUUCGGGUUGUAAAGUACUUUCAGCGGGGAGGAAGGGAGUAAGGUUAAUAACCUUAUUCAUUGACGUUACCCGCAGAAGAAGCACCGGCUAACUCCGUGCCAGCAGCCGCGGUAAUACGGAGGGUGCAAGCGUUAAUCGGAAUUACUGGGCGUAAAGCGCACGCAGGCGGUCUGUCAAGUCGGAUGUGAAAUCCCCGGGCUCAACCUGGGAACUGCAUUCGAAACUGGCAGGCUGGAGUCUUGUAGAGGGGGGUAGAAUUCCAGGUGUAGCGGUGAAAUGCGUAGAGAUCUG
rnacentral:rRNA from 1 species